rnacentral:rRNA from 1 species
UACGGAGGGUGCAAGCGUUAAUCGGAAUUACUGGGCGUAAAGCGCACGCAGGUGGCUGAGUCAGUCGAUUGUGAAAGCCCUGGGCUUAACCUAGGAAUUGCAGUCGAUACUACUCAGCUAGAGUAUGGGAGAGGGCAGUGGAAUUCCCGGUGUAGCGGUGAAAUGCGUAGAUAUCGGGAGGAACAUCAGUGGCGAAGGCGGCUGCCUGGCCUAAUACUGACACUCAGGUGCGACAGCGUGGGGAGCAACAGG